UGGGGCGGAAGGGGGACAGGUGGUUCCCCGGGUGGUCGAGGCCGGGCCUUCGUUCGGCGGCCCGCUAACCCUGCCGGGUUUCUAUGUAUGUGCCCGCCCAGGGAAACAUGGAGAACUGUUUGGCGGCGGCGGCGCUGAACGGGGUGGACCGAAGUUCCCUGCAGCGCACUGCCAGGCUGGGUCAACAAGUGCUGGAGCGGGCCAGGCGGAGGGCAGUGGACUGGCAUUUACAGGAGAGCCUCAUGGGCGGCGUGGGGGACCUUUCCCGGGAGGGACCCUCCGGAGAAGGACGGCGGGCCGCCGACACCCGGCGCCUUCUCCCCGCAGAGAGAGAAGACAGACACCUGACUCUUAAUGCUUCCUUCAGAACAAUUGCCGAAUUCAUGGACUAUACUUCAAGUCAGUGUGGGAAAUAUUAUUCGUCGGUGCCAGAGGAAGGAGGGGCAAUUCAUGUCUGUCGUUAUCACAGAAGGACAUCUCAGCAGCACAUGUGCCCAGACUCAGCGUUCGAUCAGAGAAUAGAUGGAGAUAAGACAUUCUUCAAUCCAGGAGGCAUCUCCCAAACACCAGAGCCCGCUUCUGAGGCAUCCUGGCCUGCCGAGAACAUCUGCAAGGACCUCUACAUAGAAGUAUAUCCAGGGACCUAUUCUGUCACUGUGGGCUCAAAUGCCUUAACCAAGAAGACUCACGUGGUAGCAGUUGAUUCGGGACAAAGUGUGGACUUGGUCUUCCCUGUAUGAUGUUGGCUGCCACUAUCACCGUAUCACUUUUUGAGUGGCAAGAAGAAUAAAGCUACCAUGCAGGCGAGAAGGGGCUAUGAAGGCCAGCAGCCCACAGUCUGGCCUCCCCAGCAGUAAGAUCAGUGACUUCUCACCACCUGUCCCUGCGAGGAACUAAAAGUGUGGGAGCGGAAGGACCCGUACAAAAGGCGCCUGAAGGGCAACGCUCAAGACUAUCAAGCGUCAGUACUUGACAGAACUGACAUCUAGUACUGACUAAAUACCAGUCAUAUUUAGAAGCAAAGCAGCACAUUUCCUUAAAAGGCUAUGAAAUGUGGAGAGACAAAAAGAAAAAGCUGUCAUUUGCCAUUGUUCCCGUCCCUGGUCUCAUGUGGCCUUAUGCACUUCCAUCUUUGCUAGUUGGCAGUGACAGGCAGUACCACAUCUUCAGCAAGAGCUAGGGACGGCCUGGUGCCCCGCCCAGGGAUGCUUAUGGGUCAGCCCUUGGAAUGAAGCUUUCCCCAGAGUGAAACAGAAGAUCCAGUUCCUGAAGAGAUCAUAUUUCUCUUUGAAUCAUCAGAAUGCAUUUUUUUGAGAAAAA